rnacentral:rRNA from 1 species
GACGAACGCUGGCGGCGUGCUUAACACAUGCAAGUCGAACGGAAAGGCCCAGCUUGCUGGGUGCUCGAGUGGCGAACGGGUGAGUAACACGUGGGUGAUCUGCCUCUAACUUCGGGAUAAGCUUGGGAAACUGGGUCUAAUACCGGAUAGGACAAUCGUUUAGUGUCGGUUGUGGAAAGUUUUUUCGGUUAGGGAUGAGCCCGCGGCCUAUCAGCUUGUUGGUGGGGUAAUGGCCUACCAAGGCGUCGACGGGUAGCCGGCCUGAGAGGGUGGACGGCCACAUUGGGACUGAGAUACGGCCCAGACUCCUACGGGAGGCAGCAGUGGGGAAUAUUGCACAAUGGGCGCAAGCCUGAUGCAGCGACGCCGCGUGGGGAUGACGGCCUUCGGGUUGUAAACCUCUUUCGACAGGGACGAAGCUUUGGUGACGGUACCUGUAGAAGAAGCACCGGCUAACUACGUG